UACGGAGGGAGCUAGCGUUGUUCGGAAUUACUGGGCGUAAAGCGCACGUAGGCGGCGAUUCAAGUCAGAGGUGAAAGCCCGGGGCUCAACCCCGGAACUGCCUUUGAAACUAGAUCGCUAGAAUCUUGGAGAGGUCAGUGGAAUUCCGAGUGUAGAGGUGAAAUGCGUAGAGAUCUGGAAGAACACCAAAGGCGAAGGCAGCGUCCUGGCGAGCAACUGACGCUCAUGUGCGAAAGCUAGGGGAGCGAACGGG
rnacentral:rRNA from 1 species